rnacentral:rRNA from 1 species
AACAAACGCUGGCGGCGUGCCUAAUACAUGCAAGUCGAGCGGAGCACUUCGGUGCUUAGCGGCGGACGGGUGAGUAACACGUAGGCAACCUGCCUGUAAGACCGGGAUAACUACCGGAAACGGUGGCUAAGACCGGAUAAUUGGUCUUUUCGCAUGGAGAGAUCAUGAAACACGGCGCAAGCUGUGGCUUACGGAUGGGCCUGCGGCGCAUUAGCUAGUUGGUGGGGUAACGGCCUACCAAGGCGACGAUGCGUAGCCGACCUGAGAGGGUGAACGGCCACCCUGGGACUGAGACACGGCCCAGACUCCUACGGGAGGCAGCAGUAGGGAAUCUUCCGCAAUGGACGCAAGUCUGACGGAGCAACGCCGCGUGAGUGAGGAAGGCCUUCGGGUCGUAAAGCUCUGUUGCCCUAGACGAAUGUCUUCAGGAGUAACUGCCUGAAGAGUGACGGUACUUGAGAAGAAAGCCCCGGCUAACUACGUGCCAGCCGCCGCUGUAACAC